GACGAACGCUGGCGGCGUGCUUAACACAUGCAAGUCGAACGAUGAAGCGCCAGCUUGCUGGUGUGGAUUAGUGGCGAACGGGUGAGUAACACGUGAGUAACCUGCCCCCUACUCUGGGAUAAGCCUGGGAAACUGGGUCUAAUACUGGAUAUGACCAAUCACUGCAUGGUGUGUUGGUGGAAAGAUUUUUUGGUGGGGGAUGGACUCGCGGCCUAUCAGCUUGUUGGUGGGGUAAUGGCCUGCCAAGGCGACGACGGGUAGCCGGCCUGAGAGGGCGACCGGCCACACUGGGACUGAGACACGGCCCAGACUCCUACGGGAGGCAGCAGUGGGGAAUAUUGCACAAUGGGCGAAAGCCUGAUGCAGCGACGCCGCGUGAGGGAUGACGGCCUUCGGGUUGUAAACCUCUUUCACCAGGGACGAAGCUAACGUGACGGUACCUGGAGAAGAAGCACCGGCUAACUACGUG
rnacentral:rRNA from 1 species